rnacentral:tRNA from 1 species
UCCCCUGUAGCUCAGUUGGUAGAGCAAGCGGCUGUUAACCGCUUUGUCCGAGGUUCGAGUCCUCGCGGGGGAG